AGAGUUUGAUCCUGGCUCAGGAUGAACGCUGGCGGCGUGCCUAAUACAUGCAAGUCGAACGCUUCACUUCGGUGAAGAGUGGCGAACGGGUGAGUAAUACAUAAGUAACCUGGCAUCUACAGGGGGAUAACUGAUGGAAACGUCAGCUAAGACCGCAUAGGUGUAGAGAUCGCAUGAACUCUAUAUGAAAAGUGCUACGGGACUGGUAGAUGAUGGACUUAUGGCGCAUUAGCUUGUUGGUAGGGUAACGGCCUACCAAGGCGACGAUGCGUAGCCGACCUGAGAGGGUGACCGGCCACACUGGGACUGAGACACGGCCCAGACUCCUACGGGAGGCAGCAGUAGGGAAUCUUCGGCAAUGGACGGAAGUCUGACCGAGCAACGCCGCGUGAGUGAAGAAGGUUUUCGGAUCGUAAAGCUCUGUUGUAAGUCAAGAACGAGUGUGAGAGUGGAAAGUUCACACUGUGACGGUAGCUUACCAGAAAGGGACGGCUAACUACGUGCCAGCAGCCGCGGUAAUACGUAGGUCCCGAGCGUUGUCCGGAUUUAUUGGGCGUAAAGCGAGCGCAGGCGGUUUGAUAAGUCUGAAGUUAAAGGCUGUGGCUCAACCAUAGUUCGCUUUGGAAACUGUCAAACUUGAGUGCAGAAGGGGAGAGUGGAAUUCCAUGUGUAGCGGUGAAAUGCGUAGAUAUAUGGAGGAACACCGGUGGCGAAAGCGGCUCUCUGGUCUGUAACUGACGCUGAGGCUCGAAAGCGUGGGGAGCGAACAGGAUUAGAUACCCUGGUAGUCCACGCCGUAAACGGUGGAUGCUGGAUGUGGGGACCAUUCCACGGUCUCCGUGUCGGAGCCAACGCGUUAAGCAUCCCGCCUGGGGAGUACGGCCGCAAGGCUAAAACUCAAAGAAAUUGACGGGGGCCCGCACAAGCGGCGGAGCAUGCGGAUUAAUUCGAUGCAACGCGAAGAACCUUACCUGGGCUUGACAUGUUCCCGACAGCCCCAGAGAUGGGGCCUCCCUUCGGGGCGGGUUCACAGGUGGUGCAUGGUCGUCGUCAGCUCGUGUCGUGAGAUGUUGGGUUAAGUCCCGCAACGAGCGCAACCCUCGCCCUGUGUUGCCAGCACGUCGUGGUGGGAACUCACGGGGGACCGCCGGGGUCAACUCGGAGGAAGGUGGGGAUGACGUCAGAUCAUCAUGCCCCUUACGUCCAGGGCUUCACGCAUGCUACAAUGGCCGGUACAGCGGGAUGCGACAUGGCGACAUGGAGCGGAUCCCUGAAAACCGGUCUCAGUUCGGAUCGGAGCCUGCAACCCGGCUCCGUGAAGGCGGAGUCGCUAGUAAUCGCGGAUCAGCAACGCCGCGGUGAAUGCGUUCCCGGGCCUUGUACACACCGCCCGUCAAGUCAUGAAAGUGGGUAGCACCCGAAGCCGGUGGCCCAACCUUUUGGGGGGAGCCGUCUAAGGUGAGACUCGUGAUUGGGACUAAGUCGUAACAAGGUAGCCGUACCGGAAGGUGCGGCUG
rnacentral:rRNA from 1 species